UGCCAUUUCAAUUGCAGGUUUCACUUACUUCCUUGAAUCUCGAAGACUUCUCCCCAAACAGCUUAUUGACGCUCUCCAAUAAAUACUCCCCUGUGGAUGCAUUGAUCGCAGAGCUGAGAGAGCGGAAGGAUGAAUGGAUUGCAGCUCCAGCUUGUGCCUUAAACAGAAAGGAGGGAUCUCUUUAUGUAACACAGGACGGCUAAACAACAUACUUCGAGCACAUACCUGCUGGAACAGAGUUGCACAGAGAACAGCCCUCAGGCAUUCCGCCCUAGAAAGACAGCUGCGUGAGGGAGCUGAGGUUUUUCUUGUGCAAUGGAGUCUCCUUGUUGCUAUGUUGGAGGUGGAGAGAGAAAUCUUUGGGUGGCGCCAUGUUCCGUAUGGAUGUUCAAGCAAUGGGCGGAGGCUGGCUCAUUGACUAACUUCAUUAGUACUUUCAAUUCAUGUAGAAAUCCAAGUAUAGCUGUACACCGAGGGACUGAGUAAGCUAUAUACAAGGGUUCCCUGGAGAAGGACUUGAGACGAUGAACACCUAAAGGCCGGAAGAACGAAGAGUGUGAUGAAGUGGAGAUAAAUACAGAAAAGAGAACUAGCAUCAAAUAAAGCACACUUGCCUAUGAAAUGAUUUCAAGUGUGAAACUUUUUUGUCCACUUGAAAAUCUUCUAUAAGUUUUAUUCUAACCUGUACCCAUUCCCACAGGAGGGAAAGGAGGGAAAUGACUCCCUUCUGUUCCUGUCUGCUUCAUUUUCUACCAUCGAGGCCCUGGCUCUGAGUCUCACAACACAAACCAGGAAAUAGGGCAGGGCUGAUCAUGGUCAAGGUCUAGGGUCUUAUAUCAGACUUUCUGGGUUUUAAAAUCCAGUCUGUCACUUUUCAUUUGUGUGUUGAAUGACUAAGCCUAAGCCUCAGGUUCUCAUCUUUAAAAUGGAGGAAACUAAUCCUGCCACUGAGGGUUUUGAUGAGAACUACAUGAAGUUGUGAUUGUGAGUGCUAGGCACAUGCCUCAUGCCUAGCGAAGGUUAGCUCCUCUCACUAAUAGCACAGUUCAGCUGCAGGUGAGGUAAAUGAGUUCUGAAGAACUCGCUUGGUGACCUAAUCACACUGAAUAACAUUGUUUCUUUGGAAAAAGGCAGUAUUCUGAGUUUUAGCAACCUAUGAAUGAGGUUUAUGAGUAAGUUGAAGGCUACCAAAGAAAGAAGCAGCAUUGAUCCUAAUUUUUUAAUAAGUACAAUUAAUGUCAUGCUAUAACUUCUUUAACCAAUGUAAACCAACCCAAGGAAGAAUGAGUUGGAUAUUCUACAUGAGAUAGUUGAAAGAAAAAUAUUGCUAUGAAGCAUAUCAUAUCUCUUUUAGUUGCAACUCUACUGAAAGUUUUCUUCAAGCUCAUAAAAUCCAGCUGAUUUGAAGAAUUAGAGUGGUUUGAAUAUAAAUUCAUUCCCUUCCUUAUAGGCUGGAUAUUCUGCCAUAGAAGAGAACCAUCUUAGUUUCCUUGUGUAAGAUAAAGAAGAGGAGAGGACCACCCACCUUGAAGAUGUCAGGAUUUUCCACUUUGCUCAUUUGGUUGAAAUAUCUGAUCACUAUCGUGAUGAUUUGAAAGGAAGAGUCACCUCAACAAAGCAGCUGCUGAAGGACAAAAUGUCUGUCUCUCAAUAUGUUCUUUUCACUCAACUGGAUGUGGUUGAUGCCCAGAAGCAGUUAAUUCACUUCAAAGAACUGGGAAAUGUGCACCAAAAGAUCUUAUCAGGAAAACUUUUUAAAAGUCAGAUAGAUCCUUUCAAGAACAUAAUUUAGAAAUCUUUCCAGAUCAAGUAAAAUGUGACUCAUCUGGACUAAUCUGCAGCAUUGAGGUGCAUGGUACAAAGUAGUCACAAAACAGCUAAGAAUAUAAGUGAGCUAAGUAGCUAAGUGAGUUCCAUAUAAUGAGACCACUUUAAGGAAAUCUAGUUGUGACCCCAACCAUAUUUUGUUUUUCUGUAUGACAUGCUAGUGAACAUAACAUAAAGAUACUUGCAUUGUGUAUGUAAACCAAAGGGACCAGAUUUCACUAGAAAUUAAAGAUUCCAAUUGAUUAACUGUUU